CCUACGGGAGGCAGCAGUGAGGAAUAUUGGUCAAUGGACGAGAGUCUGAACCAGCCAAGUAGCGUGAAGGAUGACUGCCCUAUGGGUUGUAAACUUCUUUUAUAUGGGAAUAAAAUGUUCCACGUGUGGGAUUUUGUAUGUACCAUAUGAAUAAGGAUCGGGUAACUCCGUGCCAGCAGCCGCGGUAAUACGGAGGAUCCGAGCGUUAUCCGGAUUUAUUGGGUUUAAAGGGAGCGUAGGUGGAUUGUUAAGUCAGUUGUGAAAGUUUGCGGCUCAACCGUAGAAUUGCAGUUGAAACUGGCAGUCUUGAGUACAGUAGAGGUGGGCGGAAUUCGUGGUGUAGCGGUGAAAUGCUUAGAUAUCACGAAGAACUCCGAUUGCGAAGGCAGUUCACUGGACUGCAACUGACACUGAGGCUCGAAAGUGUGGGUAUCAAACAGGAUUAGAUACCCCUGUAGUC
rnacentral:rRNA from 1 species